rnacentral:rRNA from 1 species
GAGUUUGAUCGUGGCUCAGAGUGAACGCUGGCGGCAGGCCUAACACAUGCAAGUCGAACGGCAGCACAGAGGAGCUUGCUCCUUGGGUGGCGAGUGGCGGACGGGUGAGGAAUGCGUCGGAAUCUGCCUAUUUGUGGGGGAUAACGUAGGGAAACUUACGCUAAUACCGCAUACGUCCUACGGGAGAAAGUGGGGGACCUUCGGGCCUCACGCAGAUAGAUGAGCCGAUGCCGGAUUAGCUAGUUGGCGGGGUAAAGGCCCACCAAGGCGACGAUCCGUAGCUGGUCUGAGAGGAUGAUCAGCCACACUGGAACUGAGACACGGUCCAGACUCCUACGGGAGGCAGCAGUGGGGAAUAUUGGACAAUGGGCGCAAGCCUGAUCCAGCCAUGCCGCGUGUGUGAAGAAGGCC